rfam:Hordeum vulgare subsp. vulgare, WGS project CAJW01000000 data, contig: morex_contig_67777
AGAGCAUCUGUAAUGUUCUUCCUCUAUUCAUCCUUGCACUUAGAGCUUACCUAAGAAAUCAUUGGGGAUGAUAUUUGGAGAUGCUC